AUUAUUCUUAUUAUUUUUCAGGAUGACAGGAUCAGGAGGUGGUGGUGUUCUGUUCUCCUGGACAGCUUUACUCUGCAAAUAGCUCAACCUCUGAGGGGAGGAACUUCACCAUUCACCAUGUCUUCAGGCAGAGUCCAGCAAAGCAGCUUCCACUGGAAAUCCUCAGGGAAGUUAUUUUGUCGGCGGGUGACUCUGCAUAUUUGACACUUACUCUGGUUUGCAGAUGGUUUAGGGAUGUGCUCCGAAGUUUUUCGGAAAGCGGCACAGUUUGCCUGGCUAGACAUUGUGGCCAACUGGAAGAAUUGUCCUCCUGUCUCCUGACCGGAACGAGUUCAGACGGAUGUACAGCAUCAGGGAACGCUUGCAGUGCAGAGCGUUUUUCAAGUUUAACCCACCAGGGUACAGAGAAGAGGCCGGCUUGGUGAUCUUCUGGGCUUUUGUUUACACAGGAUUUUGUUCCAAGGACUGUUUUUUUUUUUUUUU